rnacentral:tRNA from 1 species
AGCCCUGAGGUGUCAUACAUAUUAGAUUGCAAAUCCAAAGUCGUAGGUUUACCGCCUACCGGGGCUU